GGGUCAGUAGGUUGGUCGUGCCACCGGUACGUACUGGUCUCACUGAUUCCUCCUUCCUGAAGAACCGUAAUGCCAUUAAUUUGGUGUUGCGGGGAAGCAGGACUGUUACUUUGAAAAAAUUAGAGUGUUUGAAGCAAGCUAACGCUUGAAUACAUUAGCAUGGAAUAAUGAAAUAGGACGAUCGAUCCUAUUUUGUUGGUUUCUAGGAUUGACGUA
rnacentral:rRNA from 1 species